rnacentral:lncRNA from 1 species
GAAAGGUGUCCAGAGAGUGUGACAGCCAUAGUUUUUGAUACACAUAGCUCAGACCUACUGGACCUGACAGUUUCAAUCCUCUAGGAUUAACAGAAGAAGAAGCAACAGAAGUGGCAGGGAGAGUAGACGCUGGGGCAUCAAUUGCUGCAGAGAGGAAGGUGUGGUGGCAAACAUGUUUGCUCUGGGUUUAAAUCCCAGCCCUGCAACUUUCCACUGGGCAACUUCAGGCAAAUUGUUUAAUCUCCCUGAGCCUUGAUUCCUUUAUCUCUUGUGAGGAUCAAGCAGAAGCCCAAGCAAGCGCAUAGCUUCAUCUAUCUCAAAAGAAGCAAGCAGAGAGGCUAAGAGAGAAGUCAGGCUAUGAUGACAGGCUGUUGGUCAACUGAUGAAUUAUUGGAAGUCUAUUACUGCAGGAACCAGGGGCCUAUUGUUUUAUGGAUACAAUUCAGGGGACCCAUGUAUUUGGAUGCAGAAAAUCAUCAUUUUAUUUUCAUAACCUCCUUCAUUUAUGGAUGCAGGAAUCAAAAACAUUUGUUAUCAAUACUUAUGACUAUGCUACUCAGAGAAAUCAGAGAUUUUUAAAAUUACAUAUUAAAGUUAUAUAUAUCCAA